CUAUUCUAGAGAUAGAAGUACUCGGUACAUCGGUGACAGGUGGUGCAUGGUUGUCGUCAGCUCGUGUCGUGAGAUGUUGGGUUAAGUCCCGCAACGAGCGCAACCCCUAUUGUUAGUUGCCAUCAUUCAGUUGGGCACUCUAGCGAGACUGCCGGUAAUAACCGGAGGAAGGUGGGAUGACGUCAAAUCAUCAUGCCCCUUAUGACCUGGGCUACACACGUGCUACAAUGGUUGGUACAACGAGUUGCGAGUCGGUGACGGCGAGCUAAUCUCUUAAAGCCAAUCUCAGUUCGGAUUGUAGGCUGCAACUCGCCUACAUGAAGUCGGAAUCGCUAGUAAUCGCGGAUCAGCACGCCGCGGUGAAUACGUUCCCGGGCCUU
rnacentral:rRNA from 1 species